UACGGAGGGUGCAAGCGUUGUCCGGAUUCACUGGGUGUAAAGGGCGUGUAGGCGGGAAGAUGUGUCGGAAGUGAAAUCGUGCGGCUUAACCGUAUCAAUUGCUUCCGAAACUGUCUUUCUUGAAUGCGAGAGAGGUAGAUGGAAUUCCAGGUGUAGCGGUGGAAUGCGUAGAUAUCUGGAAGAACACCGGUGGCGAAGGCGGUCUACUGGCUCGUGAUUGACGCUGAGGCGCGAAAGUGCGGGGAGCAAACAGG
rnacentral:rRNA from 1 species